rnacentral:rRNA from 1 species
AACGAACGCUGGCGGCAUGCCUAACACAUGCAAGUCGAACGAGAUCCUUCGGGGUCUAGUGGCGCACGGGUGCGUAACGCGUGGGAAUCUGCCCUUAGGUUCGGAAUAACAGUUAGAAAUGACUGCUAAUACCGGAUGCUGAUGUUAAGUCCAAAGAUCUAUCGCCUGAGGAUGAGCCCGCGUAGGAUUAGCUAGUUGGUGUGGUAAAGGCGCACCAAGGCGACGAUCCUUAGCUGGUCUGAGAGGAUGAUCAGCCACACUGGGACUGAGACACGGCCCAGACUCCUACGGGAGGCAGCAGUGGGGAAUAUUAGACAAUGGGCGCAAGCCUGAUCCAGCAAUGCCGCGUGAGUGAUGAAGGCCUUAGGGUUGUAAAGCUCUUUUACCCGGGAUGAUAAUGACAGUACCGGGAGAAUAAGCCCCGGCUAACUCCGUG